rnacentral:lncRNA from 1 species
UAUUCCUCUCGUUAUACAGGUGGGCGCCUGGAACAUGAAAUGCCAAGACUGAAAUGUAUUCCUCUCGUUAAACAGGUGGGCGCCUGACAAGAAUUUUAAAGGCUGAAAAGUAUUCCUCUCGUUAUGCAGGUGGGCGCCUGACUUUAGGAAAACUAAACAUUGAUAAUCUUAAGACAACUAAAAGUGACUCUCUUUUUUCUUUUCUUUCUUCAAUCGUUGUUUUUUUUUUCAAAUUCAAACGUUUUUUUUGGUAUCUUAGGAGAAAGAUUCACCAGACUAAGAUCUGGAUCCUAGGAGAAGGUUCAUCAGACUAGGUCUUUUCUUUUUGGUAUCUUAGGAGAAAGAUUCGUCAGACUAAGAUUUUGAUCCUAGGAGAAGGUUCAUC